UCAGUCGGCCGGGCGGCCGCUCCCGCAGGUACCGAAAGGUCGCGGGGGAGGAAAGUCCGGGCUCCAUGGACAAACGGUGCCGGAUAACGUCCGGCGGGGGCGACCCCAGGGAAAGUGCCACAGAGAACGAACCGCCGGCGCCGCGGCGCAGGCAAGGGUGAAAAGGUGCGGUAAGAGCGCACCGCGCUCUCGGCAACGAGAGCGGCAGGGUAAACCCCACCGGGAGCAAAACCGAAUAGGAACGGCGACGCGGACAGUUCGCUCUCGGGCGAUAACUCCGCAGGGUGUCCGACCCGGCCGUUCGGGUAGGUUGCUUGAGGCGACGCGCAAGCGCCGUCCCAGAGGAAUGGCCGCCACGUUCCGCCGCGCAAGCGGCGGGGCCCUACAGAACCCGGCUUACAGGCCGGCUGAUGCU
rnacentral:RNase_P_RNA from 1 species